CCGCGGAGCCCUUUUCCUGACCUUAAACCGAGCCCCAAGGUACAGGGCAGCUCCAAGCCCGUGGCUGUUGUUAAAUGUUUAUCUGCAGCGUAAACGGGUGUUGUUCGGGCUGGCAGUGCUGCUAAAGGGCCGGUGAGAAAGAAGCGGGGAGCCAGGCAAGUGCCCCCCAGGGCACGGUGCUGCGCGCGGACACGGGGAGCGGCACAGGCUCUGGGAACGCACACGCGGGGCGCCUGCGCGGGGGCCCUCAUGCUUCUGAGCAGGGGCUGUCCCUGUCGUUAACUGUGACACGAUCCUGGGGGGUACGGGUGGAGGAGGAUUCACCCCGCGCCCCAAGAACCCUUCCGGGAGGAGCGGCGGACUGUUCUGGACCCAGCGGCCCAGGAAUGACGUGCGCAGGUCAGAGCCGCGGAUCUGCGCGCCCCCCCGCCCCCGCCGUGGAAAAGUCGCGAGUUCCCCAACUACUGUAAGCAGCCCGAGGAUGAAGGUUGGAUGGGUGAAAUCUCAGCGCCAGCCCUGGAUAGAGGCUUCCUGCAAUGAAGGAGAGGACCCCCAGUGGGAGCGAGGGGGACCCCAACCUGUGCCUGGAACCCGAUGGGGCUUCCUUCACAGGGAACCAGGAGGACUUGCUGAGGAGUUGCCUGCAGCUGACGAUCCAAGGAACCGAAUAUUCAAAUAAAAGUGGCUUCAACAACAAGCACCUGUUAUCUCCAGGGGAAUGUGGCUAUUUAUGGCUCUAUGAGGUCAUCAUUUCCAUCUUCCUGCUCUGCCAUCCCUGAGGGAUUGGCCUUGUCCCUUUCCAUGGUGGCAGCUCCAGGCAUCAAAUGCAAACAUGACCACAUUUAGAAAGGAGGUGGGCAUUUCUCCUGAUGCAUCUUUUUAUUAGACAGGAAAACCCUUUUCAGAAUCCUCCCGGCCGCCUUCCCUCUCAGGUCCCAUGAGCCAGGACGGGGUCACGGAUGUAUGCUUUACCUGCACGGGAGGCUGGGAAAGUGAUGUGGGCAUGUUCAGCUGGCAAGGAAGAACCAGGAGGCGGUGGGCAGGCAACCCCAGCAGAGCCUGGCACAACCAGUCUUCAGUAUAUCCUACGAGCCAGAUUGCAACGAUUCAUACAGCCUCUAACAAGCAAAUAAUAAAUGGGUCAUGUUACUUUUCUGUUUAAAAUGCUUCCAAACCUUCCCACUGACGCAAUAAAGUUCACACUUCUUAA